rnacentral:rRNA from 1 species
GGUUAAGCGACUAAGCGUACACGGUGGAUGCCCUGGCAGUCAGAGGCGAUGAAGGACGUGCUAAUCUGCGAAAAGCGUCGGUAAGGUGAUAUGAACCGUUACAGCCGGCGAUGUCCGAAUGGGGAAACCCAGUGCAAUUCGUUGCACUAUCGUUAACUGAAUACAUAGGUUAACGAGGCGAACCGGGGGAACUGAAACAUCUAAGUACCCCGAGGAAAAGAAAUCAACCGAGAUUCCCCCAGUAGCGGCGAGCGAACGGGGAGCAGCCCAGAGUCUGAAUCAGCUUGUGUGUUAGUGGAACGGUCUGGAAAGUCCGACGGUACAGGGUGAUAGUCCCGUACACCAAAAUGCACAGGCUGUGAACUCGAAGAGUAGGGCGGGACACGUGGUAUCCUGUCUGAAUAUGGGGGGACCAUCCUCCAAGGCUAAAUACUCCUGACUGACC